rnacentral:sRNA from 1 species
GCAGCAUGGAGAAUGAAGGCCUCUGUUUAUACACAGAACAGGUAUAGUACAGGUAGUAACAGAGCAACCUUCUCUCCUCACCCCUAUACCCCACCCCACCAAGUUGCCUCAGGUUCACAAUCUCUAAUUCUGAUGUUUUUCUUCG